GACGAACGCUGGCGGCGUGCUUAACACAUGCAAGUCGAACGGAAAGGCCCUGCUUUUGUGGGGUGCUCGAGUGGCGAACGGGUGAGUAACACGUGAGUAACCUGCCCUUGACUUUGGGAUAACUUCAGGAAACUGGGGCUAAUACCGGAUAGGAGCUCCUGCUGCAUGGUGGGGGUUGGAAAGUUUCGGCGGUUGGGGAUGGACUCGCGGCUUAUCAGCUUGUUGGUGGGGUAGUGGCUUACCAAGGCUUUGACGGGUAGCCGGACUGAGAGGGUGACCGGCCACAGUGUGCCUGAGAUACCGCCAAGACUCCUACGGGGGGCAGCGGUGGGGAAUAUUGCACACUGGGCGGAAGCCGGGUGCAGCAACGCCGCGUGCGGGAUGACGGCCUUCGGGUUGUAACCCGCUUUCGCCUGUGACGAAGCGUGAGUGACGGUAAUGGGUAAAGAAGCACCGGCUAACUACGUG
rnacentral:rRNA from 1 species